rnacentral:lncRNA from 1 species
AAAAGAGAUCUGCAUCAUUUGAAGCAAAUUUCAUGAAACAAGUUUAAUUUUUUAAAACAGAUAUAACUUGUGUAUAAGCACCUGAAGGUUCUUAAUGGUCUUCAGUGCCUUCAGAUGCUGAUUCCAUGCUGAUCUUUUUGAAAACACUGAAGUUUAUGGUUGCAAACUGUAAUCUUAGCUUUUAAAAAUGGAAUCAAAGAAGUUCGUAUUAAGUUUUGUUCCUUUACGUGAGUAUGUUAUGUGCAAUUCCUGUUGCUUUCCUCACAGAAAAGGUAAAAUGUCUCCUGUUGACUCACAGAAGUAGGGGGAGCCAGGCAAGGGGUUCACUGGGGUGUAAGGCAGAGAGGUUUGAUGUGUUCCUGCAAAAAGAAGCAACGCGAUAAGGGCCAAUGGUGAGAGACUUCUCUGAGGUGUUUCCCAUUUAAGUGCUGUGCUGAACGACAAGGUAGUUUCCUUUGAGCCACAUGUUGUCUACGUGUGCUAAAAUGGCAGUUCCUUAAGGUAAAACAUGGCGUUGCUUACAGCAGCUUUUUUCUUUUCGUGGUAAUAGAGUAAAACUCAAGAAUUAAACAGAAGAAAUGAGCUUGAAAUAGAAAGAUGUACAAUGUAGAAUACACCUUGUAACAAGUUUGUUGUACUGUUCAGGCCUAGGAAAAAUAGGUAAAGCGUUAACAGUACCUUCAGGAACGUGGAGGUGUGGCACAGAGGGACGUGCCUCAGGUGUGCGGUGGGGGUGGGUUGAAGUUGGACUAGAAGAUCUGAGGGGUCUUUCCCAGCCUUAAUGAUUCUGUGAUUGCUACAGCUGUGUUAUGGUAAAAGAUUCAGCCUAUAACUUGAACUUAUUUUGUCUGAUCUUACACGUUAGAUAAAUGGUCCUCGAACACAAUCAGCAGAUGAAUCGGUGAUGUUUUUCCUCUCUUUAACCCAAACAGAGAAAACAAGCCUGGAUGUGCAGCUUUUCCUGUUUAAAAAUUUCAUCGUGGUGCGCUGGCACUGCUCUGACUGAUCUUCUCACUCCUGGGGAUUCCUCUUUGGUAUCUCUCCUUUCGGUCCAGACUGAAGCAAUGACCUCCUCUACUUAUUCAGUGCCUUACAUUCAUCUAUUACUGUUGGUUGCUGAGUAUUCUCAAGGACAGGAAGCUCAACUAAAUAGUUCACAUCUACUGCACUGCGAUGCUGAGAAUAUGUCUUUAUUAGAUAUAAAGCACAGCGUAGCAUCAACACUGAGCAACUUGAGACUCUACCAACACAUUCCCCAUCUUCCCAAGCCAACCUGCCCCUUGCCAGCAUACCAAUCCUUGGUCUGGGCUCACUCCUGA